GUCCACGCCGUAAACGAUGGUCACUAGAUGUGGGAGGUGUCGACUCCUCCCGUGUCGUAGCUAACGCGUUAAGUGACCCGCCUGGGGAGUACGAGCGCAAGCUUAAAACUCAAAGGAAUUGACGGGGACCCGCACAAGCAGCGGAGCAUGUGGAUUAAUUCGACGCAACGCGAAGAACCUUACCUGGGCUUGACAUAUAACUGACAACCGUGGAAACACGGUCUUCCUUCGGGACAGUUAUACAGGUGGUGCAUGGCUGUCGU
rnacentral:rRNA from 1 species